rnacentral:rRNA from 1 species
GAUGAACGCUGACAGAAUGCUUAACACAUGCAAGUCAACUUGAAUUUGGGUUUUUAACUUCGGUUUGGGUGGCGGACGGGUGAGUAACGCGUAAAGAACUUGCCUCACAGCUAGGGACAACAUUUGGAAACGAAUGCUAAUACCUAAUAUUAUGAUAAUAGGGCAUCCUAUAAUUAUGAAAGCUAUAAGCGCUGUGAGAGAGCUUUGCGUCCCAUUAGCUAGUUGGAGAGGUAACGGCUCACCAAGGCGAUGAUGGGUAGCCGGUCUGAGAGGGUGAUCGGCCACAAGGGGACUGAGACACGGCCCUUACUCCUACGGGAGGCAGCAGUGGGGAAUAUUGGACAAUGGACCGAGAGUCUGAUCCAGCAAUUCUGUGUGCACGAUGAAGUUUUUCGGAAUGUAAAGUGCUUUCAGUUGGGAAGAAACAAAUGACGGUACCAACAGAAGAAGAGACGGCUAAAUACGUG